GGUAUCAAAAUUGUUUUAUUGCCACAAUGAAUAUACACAUGUAGGUCAAGCCGAGCUAUGUAGACCUUUGUGUGUUUUUAUACGGAUUUGGCAGUGUUCGCCACUCCACCAGGCCACGGAUCAAUUUCUAAACAUGUCCUCUGGUCAGUCGGCCAGUGAGAUAAUCGGAGAGAGAUACAAAGAUGACGACAGAUACCUGUAUGAGUCUGUAUAUCGGGAGCAGCUAUAGAAACUUACAGUAUCGUGCUUAUGUUUACAUCAAUACGGUUAAAUUAAUUUACAAAGCUGCUCUCGAGACCUAAGAGGUGCCAGGCUGCCAAAAUUCCCAGAAAGAGUACAACUUGACUGCUGCCACCACGCACUUUUAGAAAUGAACAGUGGGCGAAGUACUUGGUGCGGUGCUAAGAAUAGAUCAGCGUUUCGUAAUUCUCGACAGUCGUGUGAAGAAAUAACACCGUUAUCCUGUUGACCUUGGAAGUCAGUCAGCCGUUUGCAUCCCAUUGACUUUUAUUUCAGAACUCUUUCAAUUUGUUUUAUUUCAAAAUAUGUUUAGAGUACAAACCAACCUUCAAACUUCGUUCAAGAAAAACCAGCUCAGAAUAAAGAGAUGAAUACUGGAACGCGGUGUUUAGAAAUAAGAACAAAUAAACUUGUUUGAUAACAAAAAAAAA